AGCUCCAAUAGCGUAUACUAACGUUGUUGCAGUUAAAAAGCUCGUAGUUGGAUUUCUGUUACGGUGAGUCGGCCGGCUCUUCGGAGUUGUAGCUAGAUUUCAUUGUAGCAUCUUGACGUAAUUACCACUGGCAUUCAUUUGUUGGUGCGUAGGACCGUCUCGUUUACUUUGAGAAAAUUAGAGUGUUCAAAGCGGGCUAUCGCCUUGAAUAUAUUAGCAUGGAAUAAUAAUAUAGGACUUUUGGUUCUAUUUUGUUGGCGUUCGAGAACCAAAGUAAUGAUUGAUAGGGACAGUUGGGGGCAUCAGUAUUCUGAAGCGAGAGGUGAAAUUCUUGGACCUUCGGAAGACUAACAGCUGCGAAAGCGUUUGCCUAGGAUGUUCUCU
rnacentral:rRNA from 1 species